UACGUAGGGUGCGAGCGUUGUCCGGAAUUAUUGGGCGUAAAGAGCUUGUAGGCGGUUUGUCGCGUCUGCUGUGAAAUCUCGGGGCUUAACCCUGAGCGUGCAGUGGGUACGGGCAGACUAGAGUGUGGUAGGGGAGACUGGAAUUCCUGGUGUAGCGGUGGAAUGCGCAGAUAUCAGGAGGAACACCGAUGGCGAAGGCAGGUCUCUGGGCCAUAACUGACGCUGAGAAGCGAAAGCGUGGGGAGCGAACAGG
rnacentral:rRNA from 1 species